rnacentral:rRNA from 1 species
GAUGAACGCUGGCGGCGUGCCUAAUACAUGCAAGUCGAGCGAACAGAUGAGGAGCUUGCUCCUCUGACGUUAGCGGCGGACGGGUGAGUAACACGUGGAUAACCUACCUAUAAGACUGGGAUAACUUCGGGAAACCGGAGCUAAUACCGGAUAAUAUAUUGAACCGCAUGGUUCAAUAGUGAAAGACAGUUUUGCUGUCACUUAUAGAUGGAUCCGCGCCGCAUUAGCUAGUUGGUAAGGUAACGGCUUACCAAGGCAACGAUGCGUAGCCGACCUGAGAGGGGGAUCGGCCACACUGGAACGGAGACACGGUCCAGACUCCUACGGGAGGCAGCAGUAGGGAAUCUUCCGCAAUGGGCGAAAGCCUGACGGAGCAACGCCGCGUGAGUGAUGAAGGUCUUCGGAUCGUAAAACUCUGUUAUUAGGGAAGAACAAAUGUGUAAGUAACUAUGCACGUCUUGACGGUACCUAAUCAGAAAGCCACGGCUAACUACGUG